rnacentral:misc_RNA from 1 species
CUUUUUUACAUUCUUGUGAAGAACAUCCGUGAUCCGUGGCGAUUUGCGCAGAUUGUUAAAGUAAUAGUCAUAGUAAAUACGACGGUCGCGUCGACGAGUGAGCUCAUUAUGCAGAACGAUUGGGAUAACGGAACAUGGAAAAUGCAAGCGAAUACGAUGACCAUGUUCAUGGCGGAGGCCGUCGGUACGGCUAUUCUCUUGCUCUUCGGGUGUAUGGGAUGUAUCGGCACCCUGGGACCCGCACCACCUCCACUGCUGCAAACGGCACUUACUUUCGGUCUGACAGUGAAUCUCGUAAUUAUGACGAUAGGUCACGUAAGUGGCGCUCACAUUAAUCCGGUUAUCACCAUCGGUGCUGUCAUUAUGGGCCUGAAGUCAAUUCCGACCGGCAUGGUUUACAUCCUGGGACAGCUUAUUGGCGCCACUGUGGGAUAUGGAGCUUUAAAAAUGAUAACGCCAGCGGAAUUGUUCAAUGACGGAAACUUGAAUGUGAAUGCGAGUCUUUGCGUUACAACUGUUCAUCCAGAGAUUAGCUGCGUGCAAGGUUUAUUAAUCGAGGUGUUUUGUACAACUUGCAUACUUUGCGCGGCUUGCGCCACGUGGGAUCCUCGAUGCGCUCACAUUACGGAUUCGGUCGCCCUCAAAUUCGGCCUCACCGUCGCCACACUUUCCUUCGCUGCGGGUCCUUACACUGGGUGCAGUAUGAAUCCAGCACGAUCAUUUGCGCCUGCACUUUGGAAUAAUGAUUGGAAGGAUCAUUGGAUCUCCAGUUCGCACGACGAUCUCGAUGGCGUAAUCCUACAUGGCUGGUCGUCCGAUUGCGCAAUUCCGCCAUAAUUUAUUCGGUGAAUACGACGGAUUUGCACCGGCGUGGCCAGGCAAAAACAUCGUACGUGUAACCGGCAAAGGUUCAUCAACCUUCACCCAGCGACACACUCUCGCCGGCUGGGACUUGGUCACGGAUACGAUCGAUAGCGGGGCGUUUCGUCGACGUUUCGAGAAACUCGCGUCCCAGGCGGUACGCACACACCUGCGUGCACCCCGGGACUUGAAAAACGCCCAUCGUCGUUCCCGUGGAAAAGGUAUACCGUAUACUUGCAGCAUUGUCGUGCCACAAGUGUCACGGGGCAGAUCGUUGCAAACCGGCUGGCCCCGCGCGACCGGUUGGCCGAAGAUUUGAGAUCCUGAAAGCCCACCAACCCUACUGCAACAUCAUCCUCGACGUGACUACCGAGUUCAAGGUCGCGCGAUACCGGCGAGGCAACUAAAAUUAGUUCAGCGGGCAGGUUAUCUAUGCGCUCGGGGUAGCCACGACGUUGUGAACAAAGAAUUCGUUAUUUAUGUAACGAGUUGAUGAGGGUGAACCGCGGUGCCACGAUGACGAAAGAAAAUCUCUCGAGACCUCUCUCUCUCUCUCUCUCUCUUUCUCUCUGCCUCCCUCUCGAGGGAGAGAAUAUUGCGACGCAAUAUACUCUCCUUUCUUUUCCCUCUCAGCAGAUCGAAGUUCUGCGCGGCGCGCGAUUAGGGUGGGGCAGUUUUCGUACCAUGUUGCGUAAUAGACGUUCACCCUUUGCACGAAGUUAUUAUAAUGGCUGUGCGAUGAAGUAUAAACAACUUGCUGGGUUUAAUAUAGACGACGAUGCGAGGGAAACUGUCUAACUUUACACAGCUAUUCUUUAUUUUGUUACGUUGUAGAUACUAAAAAAAAUUUUUUACUGGAAAAAAAAACUUGAGUUAUAUACUAUCAUUGUAGCAUAAGUUAUAUUUACGCGUAAUUUACGCGAAGAUAUUAAUAUCAGAGUAUCACGAGAAUUAUAAUAUACAAUUCUUUUGAUAAUUUACAAUGAAGGAACAACGGUUUUGUUAAGCUUUCUUAUCAUGAGUCAUGAUUUACACGAAGGUAUUAAUAUCAGAGUCGCAAGAAUUAUAAUGUAAAUUUUUUUAUAACUUGCAACGAAGAGCAAUGAUUUUUAUUAAUCUUUACGGUAUAAUUUCCAUUUUUAUCGUUAGUCAACACAAUCGUGGAGAAGGAAUUAAUGGAUGAAAUGUAUAAUCGAUGCGUUUAUUUUGCUGGGUCGGAGACAGCGUACAUUUGCGCACUUUCUAUAUGUCAUAUCUAUAACUCACUUCGUGCAUCUAUCGAUUAGCUACUGCAGCUGAACCUCGAAUGUUCUGGAACACGGUGGAAACACCUAAACUGCAAUAUCUACGCUUAUAGCGUCAAUUUGCCCAUUACGAAAAUAUCCGAUGAAAUCCGUUCCUUUCCGCAAGAGAAACAAUUACUAUUAUUAGCUGCUAAUGUAAGUUGUUAGAAUAUUUUAAACAUUAAAUGUCUAUAUGUAGAACGUAUUAUAUGUUCUUGGGUAAUUUAUUAUUCAAUACAUUUACAGAGCUAUAUCGUGGACCACUCACAAUCAGAAUGUGAUUACCGCAUAAAAACCACACACCGUAUCACUUGUUCUAUAAAUAUACUUUAUGAGCGAUGCGUUGAAUAACAAAUUUAAUCCAAGAUAUUCAGAGCGCAUAUAUCGUCGAGUUACACACGACAUUUCCUAACUUGACCUGUCAGAGGAUCGAAAAAACGUGCUAAUUGAAAGUCCGCAUUCAUUAGCGACGCACGCUAACUGUAUACCAUCUUCGUUCCAACGAGAUCGGUAAAAGGAGGAGACGUCGUUGAGAAAGUUCCCACAGAUGAUCGCGCGCGCUCCCAUUUGAUGCAACAUAGUUGGCAACCGUCUAGCAUUUCAUUACGCCGCUCUGAAUGACACCUGAAUGUAACGAGGUAUCACACGGCACAUUGUGCAUAUUUCUAUGAAGUAUACAAGUAGUUCCGUUCACCCUACCCACCUCGUCGUGCCUCUAAUCCGCCGGCCGUUGUUAACGGCCGACAAAAAGACGAUCUCUCGCAGGGAGAGGGAGAGAAAGAGAGAUAAGUAUCUGGCGCGCGCGGCACGACCCUCAUAUAUAUCUCUCUGAAUAAAAUUGCAUUAAUUGCGUCUACUUAAAAAGGAGCGGCCUUUGUGGAUACGUUCGGGCCGGGCUAACGAGCGGCGAUAUGAAAAGGAAAUCGAUAGAGCGGUACAUGAUACACCGAAAGAGGAACGAACGUAAUAUUAUGCAACCCGGUUGUAACGCCGCUAUUAUAUACGCCGUUGCCCGGCCGCGCAUCAUCAGAGCCGUUGCAAUCUCUAACGCGAGCGCGAAUUUAUUCAUCUUCCUUUUCUCUCUCCCUCCCUCACUCUCUCUCUUUCUUUCCACAAUUACGCAUCUUCAGACAGAAAAUCGUCCUCGCGACCCACAUCUUCUGCUCUGAGUGCUCCCGAAAGUGGGCUGACGCUACGUUGCGUAAUGAUGUUUGCGUCUCCGAUUGUCACCGGCAAUCUCGCGUUUGCAUCGAAAUUGCUCAUUCUCACGCUAUCGCCCGUACGUGCGUAUGUACAUACGUAAAAGACACGCGCGUGAGUCAACCCGGCCGACGCGUGUGUUUGCAAACACACGCGUCGGCCGGGUCCCGGCUGCGCCUUCAAAUCUCGUAAAAAUAGCUGUCGGUCGCCUCAAGAGUCUGAUAAAAAAAACUGCGUCGAAGCGGCCACAAGGUCGCUCCAAGCUGCGAGCCUGGCUGCGCAGUACGGAAAUCCCACCACAAACGCGCGCGCCUUCCGACCGUAGAAACUACGUUUUAACGUUUCAGCGUGGCGCACGCACGCCAAUUUCGCAAUAUUGGAUCACGACGUGUGGCGUCCCUUUCUCCUCCCUUCCUCUCUCGCUUUUUUUCUUCCCUACGCGUCUCUCGGCGUUCGUUUACAAAACACUCUCGAAAACAGCCUCUAAUCUGUUUACUAACGAUAACGGCCUCUCCCCAAUGAUAACAGAAUCCUCAUUAUCGCGCGUCGCAUACAGAAUGCAAAAAUCGCCACGUCCAGGAUGUCUCUCUCUCUCUCUCUCUUUGAUCAACAUAAAUCAAUCAUCCCGUGGACGUGAUCCUUCCGAGUAAUAGUUCGGACAAACAAAGGGCCAAGGUUGUCCUACUGACACCCGCGCGGCGAUGUCUUCGCUGCGCAGUAGGUUCCAACGCGGUCAUUCUUUCUUUUUAAUCUAUCCGGUCCUCCCGCAGGUCGUUCUCUUCUCGAGAUACGAGACGAUGCGCACGUAGGUACAGCCGCACGAGAUCAACGACGAACGAGGAGGCUACGCUCACGUUAUACAAGCGAUGUUAUAUCACACACCGGUUGACCGUGCUAAUGGGAGCGGGGGCGAUGAGGGAGAGGGGUCUCUUUCUCCUGUAUGUGUGUGUGUUUGUGUGGGUUGGGUGAUAUGGUGGGGUCUCCGGUCGGAGCUGAGCGAACGUGCCAGAAAUCCCGUCGUCCCUGCCGACCGGGGACCCGAUCAAUACUUUGGCAUCUGCUGAUUUCCUGGUCAUAACGUGGGAAAAACAGAUCGGCCAAUGCACCGAUCGACAGAUCUCGUCGCGGUGGUGCCGAUUGUCGUGGUCCCGACCCGGGCCGGACGCCGGCAAGGCCCGAAACGAUCGAUCGCCGGGAAUUGCGCAUUAGGCGACGAGGCGGAGUGAGGACGCGGUCGGAGAUCUCGAAGCUUCCUCCGCGUUGCGACGCCGCGGCGGCGCGCGCCUAUAUAAGGCGGCCGGCCGGCCAGCCGCGGCGCAUUCGUAAACAAACCCUGGUUCAGUUUGGACGCUGCGAACACCCGAAGACCCCCCUUCACCCACCACCAUCAGUGUAACACACUUCGGCUUCUUACUUCGUCGAGACCGCCGGCACGGGAAAAUGUAGGCGAGCGGGCACCAGGUGCGGAGCGCGACAGUUUACCUGCACCCUACGGGGUCGGUGCUUGAACAAUCCGUACGCGACGAUAACAGCCGUGAUUAGAAGUUGAAAUUCCUUCACUCUUUGAACAAAUAUGAGAAGAGAACCUCGAGAUAUAGUUUAGAGCAGACUCGUAGUGUUUGAUCCGAAAUCGUCGAACGACCAUCUGCCUCUUCUAGUACUACACGCUGAGGCGCAGCAUUGGGAACGUCGGGAUCGAAAAGCAAAAAUCAAAUAUGUAACGUAAGCCGCAUUAGCUAUAACAAAGACGAGAGAGGGGAGAGAGAGUGAAAGAGCGAGAGAGGGGAAUAGUGGAGGAGAGAGAGAGAGAGGGGGGAGGCUCCGUUCGUUCGCGGUUGAUUCCGCGAAUGAGGGAGCGGGGCGGAUGUUAACGCGAACUGUCUCGGCUCGAUCGAGCUUACCCUUUUGGGCGCCGUGAUUGUUAGUACACCAUCCGAGGAGAGAGUCGAAGUGAUGUUGACGAGAUCGUGAGUCGGGGGCAGGACGUAUCUGCGUACGAAGUGUCUGCUGAUGUAGCCGUGCUCGUCCUGCUUCUCCUCGUGCUUGGCCUCGACAACGACGUAAUUGUCAACCGUCUUCACCGUGAUCUCACUCGGUGAGAACUGUUGCACGUCCAGUAUCACCUGCGGAUCAGAGAGCGCCGUUAACUUACUCGGGAUAUCCUCUCUCGUCACCGCCACCGAGGACAGAAGUAUCUCGCAUCCUACCGUGAGCGAUCGCGAAACCACCCGUCAUGCAUCCAUAGUGCGAAAGUUAAGUAUCGACAUCACACCUGUACGAGCUUACUCCGAAAAAAAAAAAAAGAAAAAAUUAUGAUCGACCUUUGAGCGAUAAGAGACCCGCCACCCUUUUCUUGUAUUGCGCGGAUUCCUUUUGUUUCGACAUUUUGUUUCUUGUUCUGGCUAACUGAAUUUCCGGAAGAGGAUCUCGAACGCCGCCGUGCACAUAUUCCAGCGCAUAUUCUAAAUCGUACUCUAAAAUAUUAUACGCGUAGGGUUAAUUCACGCACAACAGUUUCGGCUUGCCAUCUGGGAAGCAACGCUUCAUUCGGUCACUUCCACAUUUGUCCCUUCACGCUUCUGCGUUCAGGGGAGCCGCCGAUCAGGUCCGAUUAUUAAAAUUUCCGCGACAGAAGAAAGAAAUGGCAGUACAACCAACGUUUUAGAUCCUAUCCCGCUCGUCAGAUAAGCGCAUCGUGAAAGCACUAAUUUUCCUUUUCGCGUCGCGAUUCUCUCAUGUGUAAUUCUACGCGGUUCCUUUAGAUUUGUCCCGUAUAACAAAAACCAAACCGGGAAAAUGUAGUUGCCGGGCAUACCUACUUGUGUGAGAUUGUUCUUUUUUUUUUUACGAUCAGAAAAAACGAGCAUACAUACAAGUAGGUGAUUCUUCUUUAUUUGUAACUGACGCGUGCGCGGUCGUGCAGGGAGCGAUCGGUCGCGAUCGCGGUGGCUGGUCCCUUUGCGGCCGGCGCGCGAGCUCGCGUUGGGCGAGGAAAACAAGGAACCGAUAAAAUAAAAACAAAGAUAAAAAAAAUAAAAAAAGAAUAGAAAGAGAGAAGAUGAAUAACAUUUUGACAUAGAACGAGGAACUCUAACACUCGACGGUAGUGAGGCAAGCGUACCCGAGUCUCUCCGGGUGAUCCUGCGUGAUCCUGGAGCGGACCUCGGCGAGCGCGAAGAGAUUAGCGGAGGAUAAUUGGCUGUGCAUUUCGAAAAUAGUACCAAAAAAAAAAAAAAACAAGAGUAGAAGAGAGGAGGAGAGAUAAGAGUUCGUGGAGGGAUCUCGCUCCACGAACGAUCGGCUCGAGUGCUGCGCGCGGAGCGACACAUACUUUUGUACAAAUACAGAGAAAUAAAGAGAAACGAAUUCCGCGUAAGAAGGAGGAAAGAUAAAAAAAAAGCACAAAGGUCAUUUUGUACGAUUCUAUUGUUGUGGGUAUUCAAAAAGCAUUUAUUUUUGUAUAGAGAUUAUAAACAGCGGGGGGGUACCGGGGCCCGCGGGUCGCGGUUAACGCGAGCGGCGCACCCUUUGAGAUGAGGGGUGCGUCCACGCUCGUCGUCGGGACGGCACGAGAGCCUCGGUUCUUCCGCUCGAACAAGACUGACUAAAAGCGCGACGCGAUAUAUACAUCCACUCUUUCGGUUGCAUAUUUUAUUCCGUGGCUGCUGCGCGCGAUUUUCCGCGUGCGAAGCACUCCGAACGAAAAAAAAAAAAAAUUGCAAGACAACGUCACGUACGGAAAUUGGUAGUCACCUCGGAUCUGCGGCAGGCAAACCGUGCGCGCGAUUGCGCGAGGAGAAAAUAUCGCGGAAAGAGAAGAGUGAAAAACAACAAAAGAGAAACAAACGCACACAUACACGCGCGCACACACACACACAUACACACAUAUAUGUACACAGUAAGAAUAAAGAGAGGGGGAGGUAAAACGAGAACUGUGGUAAAACUGUGAUUUCAUAGAGAUUCCGAAAACCGGCGUGACUAACCGGAGAUCGUGCAGCGCGAUCGUCCUUUUUUGAUACCGCAUACCUUUCAUAGAACAUUUCCGGCAAACGAGAAGGAUAACUGGUCCCUUCAGACUGGAAAUCUGCUAAUACCGUAAUCAUUACUACACAACCGGACUAUAUCGAAAUAGGGCGAUUAGAUGAACGAUGUAGGAGAAACUAGAUUCUUUUCGGCACAAACGCGGUUUAUUGUAAAAGGGGACUGAUAACGUCGUGGAUAUUUUUUUGACUAUUCGAGCUCUUGCGGGGAAGAGAAAAAAAAAGACGAAGAAAGAAGACAAAAAUACCGUAUUCGCGAAAAAAAGAGAAAAAAAAAACAAGAAAAGUCGUCCCUCCGAUCCGAUUUAUUACUCGCCCUCCCUCCUCCCGAGGAGGGGGGUGCAAAAAACGUCCCCUACCCCUCGUCCCGAAAAUAGUCCCGCUCGAACACUCGUUUCACCAUCCCGAUCUGUCGUGAAAAUCGUGCUGCCGCCCUCUCGGUCGACUUACCGUCGCGAUCGCGGCGAUUACGAAGGCGUAGAUUAAAACGCGUAAAUGCAUAAUACAUGUAUGCGUGUAUGGCGUUAGAGACAGCGGUAGCUGCAGCGACAUAGAUGCAGUCAUCAGUUUUUCGGGCCUUCUGGUGUUCCGGAACUUUUUCGUUCGUUGCUUUUUGUUGUAAGCCACCCUUACGUUGAGUUUCACCCGUCCCUUACGUUUGGUUUCAUCCCCUGCCGGGGUACCUUUUUCUUUUCUAUUUUAACGGCCGCGCGGCUAAUUCGUUCCCCUCAAAAGUAACGUUCAAUUCCGUUCAAGUAAGUAGUUUCCACUUCGAUCUUUUCCGUUAACGCCUUUUUUUCUCCCCCUUUUACCCUUUCUCCCUUUUCUCUUCCCUUUCAUCCCGCCCUUCCCCUUCAUCCUUCCCUUCCUUUUUUUUUCCUUUUUACGAAUGCGCCCUUUCAUCCUUCCCUCUCACGUCAUUCCCGUCAUCUCUUCGGUCAUUUGUCUCCUGCGACUUUUCUAUAUUUCGAAAUCUAGUUACGAUAUUCGCUACUCGUUUUUUCGCUAGAAGAUAAUGUAAAAAGAAAGUAUCUUCCCCUGUAAUACACAUAUUAAAUAUUGUACUUUGUUUCGUAGGCUAUCAUUCGAGGCUUUUUAUAUUCGACACAAAAUUAAUUUUUGCGUCCGAUACAAAACGCACUCGAGCUACAAAUACCAAAAUAAGAAAUAAGGAAAACCACUAAAGAGUUUAAGUCGUGUCUUUUAGCCUAAGUUGUAUCGCACUGAAUGUGUAAUCGAGCACAUUCCGCACGUUUUUUAUUUCUGAAAUCAUCCCGAGAAAAUCAAUGUAAUUAUAGCGCGUCGAGGCAGAGCGGUCUCGAAUUCAUGAAUUUAGAACUGUCAGGUGAAUCGCAUUACAUCCAUGACGAAAUGUGAAUGUAAUUUGAUGAACCGAAGAGGGUACAUACUCGUGAGUUUGGGAGAGUGUUAGGCAAGUUGCACAUCUGUAUUCGACGUAACAACCGUUGCAAAAAAAAAA